rnacentral:rRNA from 1 species
CGUUGAUUACGUCCCUGCCCUUUGUACACACCGCCCGUCGCUACUACCGAUUGAAUGGCUUAGUGAGGUCUUCGGAUUGGCUUUGGGGAGCCGGCAACGGCACUCUAUUGCUGAGAAGUUGAUCAAACUUGGUCAUUUAGAGGAAGUAAAAGUCGUAACAAGG